AGAGUUUGAUCCUGGCUCAGGACGGGGGGGGGGCGGCGUGCCUAACACAUGCAAGUCGAACGAGGUUAAUCCGGUAGCAAUACUGGUGACUGCCUAGUGGCGAACGGGUGAGUAGCACGUGAGCAACCUGCCCCGAAGACCGGGACAACACCGGGAAACCGGUGCUAAUACCGGAUACCCCCACCUAAUCGCAUGAUCUGGUGAGGAAAUGGAUUCCGCUUCGGGAGGGGCUCGCGGCCUAUCAGCUAGUUGGUGAGGUAACGGCUCACCAAGGCUUCGACGGGUAGCUGGUCUGAGAGGACGAUCAGCCACACUGGGACUGAGACACGGCCCAGACUCCUACGGGAGGCAGCAGUGGGGAAUCUUGCACAAUGGGCGAAAGCCUGAUGCAGCAACGCCGCGUGAGGGACGAAGGCUUUCUGAGUUGUAAA
rnacentral:rRNA from 1 species